rnacentral:rRNA from 1 species
CCUACGGGGGGCUGCAGUGGGGGAUAUUGCACAAUGGGGGAAACCCUUAUGCAGCGACGCCGCGUGAGUGAAGAAGUAUUUCGGAAUGUAAAGCUCUAUCAGCAGGGAAGAAAAUGACAGUACCUGACCAAGAAGCCACGGCUAACUACGUGCCAGCAGCCGCGGUAAUACGUAGGGGGCAAGCGUUGUCCGGAUUUACUGGGUGUAAAGGGAGCGUAGACGGGUAUGAAAGUCUGGAGUGAAAGCCAGGGGCUCAACCCCGGGACUGCUUUGGAAACUGUGUAACUGGAGUAAAGGAGGGGCAGGCGGAAUUCCUGGUGGAGCGGUGAAAUGCGUAGAUAUCAGGAGGAACACCAGCGGCGAAGGCGGCUUGCUGGACUGAAACUGACGUUGAGGCUCGAAAGCGUGGGGAGCAAACAGGAUUAGAUACCCGAGUAGUC